GGACCAGCACUGCUAACUUUAAGUAAACGUAUCUUUUUGCAGCAAAAACUGAAGAAUGAAGAACUCACUCGUCUUGUGGAGGAGAAACGGAGGGAUGCAGAAAAAAAUCAAAAAGAAGCAGAAGAGAAAGAGAGAGCAGCUGUAAGAGAACAGGAAGAGCAAGAGAGACAAAUAAGACUGCAACAGGAUUUCUCUGUGUUUCGGGCUCUUCCAUCUCCAGAAAACAGAAACAGCCAGAGAACAGAGAAGUACAGAAGUGAGGUUGUAAAUGAGCUGUGUGCUUUAAGAAGACGUCUGCGCAGUGAACAGCAGCAUCUGGAGGAGCAGCUCUUGCAGACGAAGUGGGAGCAUCUCCCCUCCCCCUUCACUGACAGGCACAGGAUGGAUGUGUUUGACAUGGCUCGUUUGGGCAUGCCUGUGCGAGGCCCCUCCUCCCGCGGCACUGAGCCAAUCAGCUCAGAGGGGGCCAAUGACGUCAUGUACAGGGAUGCCUUUAUGCCUAGAACAUGGCAGUCUAGGAACAGAGAUGUUGAGGGUGGACGAGGAUCUGUGCUUCUGUCAGAAAGUGAAUUUAUUGGUGGGAUCACACAUUUCUUUAAUUGCUUAAUGAGUGUAACCAGUGGGCCCGAGAUUUGUUUGGACACUUAA
rnacentral:lncRNA from 12 species